CCAUUUGCAUUGGGAUAUUCCUGCAACCGAAAGAACCUUAACAUCAGUAUUAUUAGAGAGUCCAAGUAAAUGGCCCAAGGCACAUAACCAAUAACCGGCAUGCCCAGAUAUUUAGGUUUAUGCCUAUCUGGUGCUAAAGCACAUGCCUUUAACCACUAGGCCCAUCUCUGACAUUUGUAAAGCCAGAGGCAAGACUACAGAUGGAGGCCCACAUGCCAUGUCUUGAUAUUUAAAAGUUAUAAAUCAAGCUGAGCUCAAAUGUGUUCUACCCUCCUAUCUUGACAGAACAUCCAGGAAGGCCAAGUUCGAAUUUAGAAUUCUCAGACUCAGGUCUGUGCCACAAUACGGUGUCAAAGCAGGCCAUCCCAUGGCUCCACUUCUCUUCCCUCCUCAUUCUUUCCCACAUUGCGAGGGACACUCCAGCCCACACCUCCAAGUGCCAUCACAUCCUUGCAAACCACCACCCUUUGGCUGCCCACCACUCGGGCCUUAGGGUGUGCACCAUGGUGGCAUCACCUCUGUGAGAAUGGACCUAGGGAGAGGCUCAUAGAGGCUCUGGAAGCAGGUUUGAAUCUGGACAGGGAUUCCAGGGUCGUGGGUACCUGGACUGUGGUCUGGUGGGUGAGGUGGGGACACAAGCUCUGGGUGUCACAUUUCCUUGGUCCUGCAAACUCUGUGCCUCAUGGAAAGAGGCAUGGCAGGAGAAGGGCCAGGACAGCUCUCUCCAGAAGUCCUCUUCCCACGUGGAGCCCUGUCAACCUCUCUGUUAACCACACUUCAUCUUUUCCCUGCAGUUUCAAGUGCAGUAUACUGAGCUCUUCUUAACACAUCCAAAAUUAAACACAGUAUUUUAUUGUGAGUUCCUGGGGGUUUGGCCAGGUUGUCUCAGAGCUCUUCUGAAAGUUCUGGAUAUGUGGGAGCAGCCUUGUAUAUUUCCUUAACCAGUAUCUGGGUCCUGAUUCUUGGCUCUCCAUUCUCGCCUUCAAGUUCUUCCGAGUAUGCCAGAGACCAGCUGCAGCCAGGGUACCAUGCAGAAACCGUUCACACUGUGGUCAUUCCUGCAUCGCAUCCCGGGAUCCAUCUGACACGUUAGGAAGGAAGCCAUGGGAGCUGAGCUCGCCAGCUUUCUCUCUGACACGCUGAUAGAGCUUUUCCUCCUGCCUUCCUCGUAGAUGUCCUCUCUGCAGCAAGUGAGCUCAGCCUUUUCAUGCUUAAAUGUCUCAGACUGCUUACUGGCUGGUAGUGUAUGCCAGCUAAUCGAGUGGGAGGUUUUUUGUUUGUUUUUGUAAAAAUCUCAAACUUCUUAUGGAAGACCCUAUUUUAUACUCUAAUCUUCUGCUUUACUUUCUUUUCUUCUUUAAUGGCACCUUUCUCCCACAGCUCAAACAGAGUUGAUAAUAGUGGCUAACACGGAGCACUCAUUAUCAUGCAGACACUGUUCCCAGUGCUGUCCUGAUAAUAACUCGUUUCAUCCAGCAUUUCCAUGAGAUAGUUAUGUUAUAAUUUCCAUAUCACAGAUCAGGAACCAACAGCAUUGCCCAGGUCACUUCUUAAGAGGCGUGUGGCUGAGCUGAGAUUCAAACCCAUAGAGUCUGGGUCUAUGUUCUUAACGGUCCUUAAGCUGUGGCAGGUGCCACAAUCACCUGGGACCUGGGUAUUGCUACAAGGGUACAGGUCCUGUCCUGCCUCAACAGGCCCAGGCCUCUGUGGCCUUUAUUAGCUCUCAGGUGAUUCUGAUGCCCAAGUCUGGGAACCACUGCACUGAGCUGUUCAGCCUUGAUUUUGAAUAUUAUCCACACGCCACUGCCCUGUCUGAGGCUGUGUUCCUAUUCCUACGGGUGAGUGUUUUCUUGCUUGUGCCCAGGAGAGGAGAAACUGCAGGGGGCUCUUCCGUCCCAGGGACUCUUCCCUUCCUUCUCCCUGCCUCAGGCUGACUACUUUCCCAGGGGCAGCAGGGUCUUCUCACCCCUGCACCCAACCCCUCAGGAGCAUCAAGGACACCAGCUCCUUCAUUUGCUGAUCUUUCUCUAAUUCUUGAAGCCCUGGAUAAUGUCUUGCAUGUGGACAUAUUUUUAUAAUUACAGCUACCCCAGUAAAGUGUUUCAGAGACUAACAUCUUGGGAAAAGGUGCAUAAAGUUCUGUG
rnacentral:lncRNA from 1 species